UGGCCUAAUAUCUGUUGGCAAGCUGGGAAYACAAAAUGAAACACCAUUAUAUAUGAUCUAUUUACAGCUGUAUAUGUGCUGGUGCUGAUCCAUCUGCGUUUCAGGCCAUGUGCCACUUGGGGUAUACUGGGAGGGAAGCCCAUUUAGCAAACAAGUUUGCAGAACAACAUAUUUCUGCUGCUGAGCAUGGAUAAGAUCUUUCGCCCUCAAGGUUUCAUUUUUCUCCUGCAUCUGAUGACCACUGUGAGACAAUGCCUCUAUUAUCUCCUUACAUUGUCAUCCACAGAAUAAAAAAACCACAUUCAAGCGCAACAGCAAUCCAGUGCAGCAGGUAGAAUAUAGAAGAGAACAAGARACAGUCCGUGCUUUGGGCAGCCUGGAACCCACAUGCAAGAGCUCCAGCAAGAUCAGCGCUGUGUCUCAGCAUCUCCAGCCAACAGCAGUUGCUUCUCUGUCCAAAGCAUCCCACAACACUGCGAUUCAGAGUCCUAACUCUUCCCCAGCACACAAUGGGGCCCCACCGCAGAGAACAUGAGCUUGGCACGCAACUUGGAAACCAUUUCUCUCCCAUAUAUUUAGCCA
rnacentral:lncRNA from 1 species